rnacentral:rRNA from 1 species
CCUACGGGAGGCAGCAGUGAGGAAUAUUGGACAAUGGGCGCAAGCCUGAUCCAGCCAUGCCGCGUGCAGGAAGAAGCAUCUAUGGUGUGUAAACUGCUUUUGUACAGGAAGAAACACUCCCUCGUGAGGGAGCUUGACGGUACUGUAAGAAUAAGGACCGGCUAACUCCGUGCCAGCAGCCGCGGUAAUACGGAGGGUCCGAGCGUUAUCCGGAAUCAUUGGGUUUAAAGGGUCCGUAGGCGGUUUAAUAAGUCAGUGGUGAAAUCUGGUCGCUCAACGAUCAAACGGCCAUUGAUACUGUUAGACUUGAAUUAUAAGGAAGUAACUAGAAUAUGUAGUGUAGCGGUGAAAUGCUUAGAUAUUACAUGGAAUACCAAUUGCGAAGGCAGGUUACUACUUAUGGAUUGACGCUGAUGGACGAAAGCGUGGGGAGCGAACAGGAUUAGAUACCCUGGUAGUCCACGCCGUAAACGAUGGAUACUAGCUGUUCGGAGCAAUCGUGAGUGGUCGUAGACGAAGUAGAGUAAGUAUACCACCGUACGGGUAGGUACGGUUACGUCGAGAAGUAGAAACGUACGAAGUAAGUAGUACGUACGUGUAGAGAGACGACGACGACGACGACGGAGGGAGGAGG